rnacentral:rRNA from 1 species
GACGAACGCUGGCGGCGUGCUUAACACAUGCAAGUCGAACGGAAAGGCCCUGCUUUUGUGGGGUGCUCGGGUGGCGAACGGGUGAGUAACACGUGAGUAACCUGCCCUUGACUUUGGGAUAACUUCAGGAAACUGGGGCUAAUACCGGAUAGGAGCUCCUGCUGCAUGGUGGGGGUUGGAAAGUUUCGGCGGUUGGGGAUGGACUCGCGGCUUAUCAGCUUGUUGGUUGGGUAGUGGCUUACCAAGGCUUUGACGGGUAGCCGGCCUGAGAGGGUGACCGGCCACAUUGGGACUGAGAUACGGCCCAGACUGCUACGGGAGGCAGCAGUGGGGAAUAUUGCACAAUGGGCGGAAGCCUGAUGAAGCAACGCCGCGUGCGGGAUGACGGCCUUCGGGUUGUAAACCGCUUUCGCCUGUGACGACGCGUGAGUGACGGUAAUGGGUAAAGAAGCACCGGCUAACUACGUG